GCUGGCGGCAGGCCUAACACAUGCAAGUCGAGCGCUCACUUCGGUGGGAGCGGCGGACGGGUUAGUAACGCGUGGGAAUAUGCCCGGUACUAAGGAAUAGCCUUUGGAAACGAAGAGUAAUACCUUAUACGCCCUUCGGGGGAAAGAUUUAUCGGUAUCGGAUUAGCCCGCGUAAGAUUAGAUAGUUGGUGGGGUAAUGGCCUACCAAGUCUACGAUCUUUAGCUGGUUUUAGAGGAUGAUCAGCAACACUGGGACUGAGACACGGCCCAGACUCCUACGGGAGGCAGCAGUGGGGAAUCUUAGACAAUGGGCGCAAGCCUGAUCUAGCCAUGCCGCGUGAGUGAAGAAGGCCUUAGGGUCGUAAAACUCUUUCGCCAGAGAUGAUAAUGACAGUAUCUGGUAAAGAAACCCCGGCUAACUCCGUGCCAGCAGCCGCGGUAAUACGGAGGGGGUUAGCGUUGUUCGGAAUUACUGGGCGUAAAGCGCACGUAGGCGGACUGGAAAGUUGGGGGUGAAAUCCCGGGGCUCAACCUCGGAACUGCCUCCAAAACUAUCAGUCUAGAGUUCGAGAGAGGUGAGUGGAAUUCCAAGUGUAGAGGUGAAAUUCGUAGAUAUUUGGAGGAACACCAGUGGCGAAGGCGGCUCACUGGCUCGAUACUGACGCUGAGGUGCGAAAGUGUGGGGAGCAAACAGGAUUAGAUACCCUGGUAGUCCACACCGUAAACGAUGAAUGCCAGUCGUCGGCAAGUAUACUUGUCGGUGACACACCUAACGGAUUAAGCAUUCCGCCUGGGGAGUGCGGUCGCAAGAUUAAAACUCAAAGGAAUUGACGGG
rnacentral:rRNA from 1 species